AGGCUCCAAACAGAUAAACGGAGGUCAAAUUUGGAUUCCGGAGGUCCGAAAACCUUAAGAUCAGUCAAGAUCGGCUUAAAAUUGGGCUUGUGUAAAAAAAGUUGACUUUUCCUGUUGACCGAGCACUGAUUGGAUGAUGAAAUGAGCUUACAAUAGAUAUGAGUGCAUGGGAUAACUGGCAAUCUUGACUAAAUCUCAACCGUUCAUGAUUCAAUGCCCAUGAUUGUGCCACGUGGCAAUGGUUGGUGAAGCAAGUUGGAGGAUCCGAAUCUUUGUAUUCGGGUCGACCCGAUCCACCCAUUAACCCGCCAAAUCUCAACCGUUCUUUGGGUAAAUCGGACGAGUCAAAUGAUGCCAUGUGUGAUGUUGACUUUUGAAGUUUGACCAGCCAUUGGAUCUUGAUCUAAGGGUUGUGAGGAGCACAUGCAUGAAGCCUAUGAUGGACCGCAAAGCACUGGAUUAUGAAUUUAUUUUUCUAUAAAUAGAGCCUCAUUUUUAUGUUUUAAUGAUCUCUCUACAACUCUCUUCUUCUCAAAUUCUCUCCAUCUCCUUGUAAUCUUGAUUUCCAGGUGUGUUUUUAAUAUUUUGUAUAAUUAUUUUCAUUAAUAAAAUUAGUUUUAUUUCCAAUUUUAGUUGUUUUUAUUUCUUUUAAUUAUAAGUAAUUCAAUUUUACUACUUCUUUUUAUUUUAA
rnacentral:lncRNA from 1 species